rnacentral:rRNA from 1 species
UACGGGGGGGCAAGCGUUGUUCGGAAUUACUGGGCGUAAAGGGCUCGUAGGCGGCCAACUAAGUCAGACGUGAAAUCCCUCGGCUUAACCGGGGAACUGCGUCUGAUACUGGAUGGCUAGAGGUUGGGAGAGGGAUGCGGAAUUCCAGGUGUAGCGGUGAAAUGCGUAGAUAUCUGGAGGAACACCGGUGGCGAAGGCGGCAUCCUGGACCAAUUCUGACGCUGAGGAGCGAAAGCCAGGGGAGCAAGCGGG